AACGUAGGACGCGAGCGUUAUCCGGAGUUACUGGGCGUAAAGCGCGGGCAGGCGGUCUGACAAGUCUGAUGUGAAAUCUCCGGGCUUAACCGGGAGAGGCCAUUGGAAACUGACAGGCUGGAGGGCAGUAGAGGUAGGCGGAAUUCCGGGUGGAGUGGUGAAAUGCGUAGAGAUCCGGAGGAACACCAGAGGCGAAGGCGGCCUACUGGGCUGGCACCUGACGCUGAGCCGCGAAAGCCAGGGGAGCGAACAGG
rnacentral:rRNA from 1 species